GACGUAGGUGGCAAGCGUUGUCCGGAAUUACUGGGCGUAAAGGGCGCGUAGGCGGACUUUUAAGUCAGGUGUGAAAUUUCCGGGCUCAACCCGGAGUGUGCAUUUGAAACUGGAAGUCUUGAGUGCAGGAGAGGGCAGUGGAAUUCCUAGUGUAGCGGUGAAAUGCGUAGAUAUUAGGAGGAACACCAGUGGCGAAGGCGGCUGCCUGGACUGUAACUGACGCUGAGGCGCGAAAGCGUGGGGAGCAAACAGGAUUAGAUACCCUGGUAGU
rnacentral:rRNA from 1 species